UAAAUGAGCUACUACAAUACGGUCUUACGAAUCAGGUCAGGUCAGGAAUGAAGCAGCCUUAAGGAAGCUCCCGUAUGUGUAGUAGUUUUUAUUUGGA
rnacentral:SRP_RNA from 1 species